rnacentral:rRNA from 1 species
AUUGAACGCUGGCGGCAGGCCUAACACAUGCAAGUCGAGCGGACGAAGGGAGCUUGCUCCUGGAUUCAGCGGCGGACGGGUGAGUAAUGCCUAGGAAUCUGCCUGGUAGUGGGGGAUAACGUCCGGAAACGGGCGCUAAUACCGCAUACGUCCUGAGGGAGAAAGUGGGGGAUCUUCGGACCUCACGCUAUCAGAUGAGCCUAGGUCGGAUUAGCUAGUUGGUGGGGUAAAGGCCUACCAAGGCGACGAUCCGUAACUGGUCUGAGAGGAUGAUCAGUCACACUGGAACUGAGACACGGUCCAGACUCCUACGGGAGGCAGCAGUGGGGAAUAUUGGACAAUGGGCGAAAGCCUGAUCCAGCCAUGCCGCGUGUGUGAAGAAGGUCUUCGGAUUGUAAAGCACUUUAAGUUGGGAGGAAGGGCAGUAAGUUAAUACCUUGCUGUUUUGACGUUACCAACAGAAUAAGCACCGGCUAACUUCGU